rnacentral:rRNA from 1 species
GGNUCAUCCUGCCCGGUGAAAUUUUUAACGGCCGCGGUACCCUGACCGUGCAAAGGUAGCAUAAUCAUUUGCCUUUUAAUUGAAGGCUAGUAUGAAUGGAUAAAUGAGGAUUUAGCUGUCUCUUUUAUAAAAAUAUAAAUUAAUCUUCAGGUGAAGAAGCCUGUAUAAUAAUAAAAGACAAGAAGACCCUAUUGAGCUUUACUUUAACUUUAAUUAAUAAAGUAUUGAUACAUAAAAAAUAAAAGCUGUAAGUUUGGUUGGGGCGACAAGGGGAAAUUUAAAACUCCCCAUAACACAUAGAUUUACAAAUCAAUUAAUGAUCCGAUUAAUAUUCGACCAUAGGAAAAAGCUACCAUAGGGAUAACAGGCUAAUUCUUCUAAAGAGCCCACAUUGAUAGAAGAGAUUGGCACCUCGAUGUUGGCUUAGAAUGUCCUUCUGGUGCAGCAGCCAGAAAGGGUUGGUUUGUUCAACCAUAAAAAUUCU